rnacentral:rRNA from 1 species
CAGCCGCCGCGGUAAUGCGGAGGGGGCUAGCGUUGUUCGGAAUUACUGGGCGUAAAGCGCACGUAGGCGGCUUGGUAAGUUAGAGGUAAGAGCCCGGAGCUCAACUCCGGAAUUGCCUUUAAGACUGCCGAGCUAGUAGGUGAGAGAGGUAAGUGGAAUUCCGAGUGUAGAGGUGAAAUUCGUAGAUAUUCGGAAGAACACCAGUGGCGAAGGCGGCUUACUGGCUCAUUCUAGACGCUGAGGUGCGAAAGCGUGGGGAGCAAACAGGAUUAGAUACCCCCGUAGUCCCUGUCUCUUAUAC